UACGUAGGGUGCAAGCGUUGUCCGGAAUCAUUGGGCGUAAAGCGCGCGCAGGCGGUUCUGUAAGUCCUGGGUGAAAUAUCGCAGCUUAACUGUGAGGGUGCCAUUGAUACUGUAGGGCUUGAGUGAAUUUGAGGUAGGCGGAAUUGACGGUGUAGCGGUGAAAUGCUUAGAUAUCGUCAAGAACACCGAUAGUGAAGACAGCUUACCAAGCUUCAACUGACGCUGAGGCACGAAAGUGUGGGGAUCAAACAGG
rnacentral:rRNA from 1 species